GCACAAGCGGUGGAGCAUGUGGUUUAAUUCGAAGCAACGCGAAGAACCUUACCAGGUCUUGACAUCCCCUGACAACCCGAGAGAUCGGGCGUUCCCCUUCGGGGGACAGGGUGACAGGGUGGUGCAUGGUUGUCGUCAGCUCGUGUCGUGAGAUGUUGGGUUAAGUCCCGCAACGAGCGCAACCCUCGACCUUAGUUGCCAGCAUUCAGUUGGGCACUCUAAGGUGACUGCCGGCUAAAAGUCGGAGGAAGGUGGGGAUGACGUCAAAUCAUCAUGCCCCUUAUGACCUGGGCUACACACGUGCUACAAUGGCUGGUACAAAGGGUUGCCAACCCGCGAGGGGGAGCCAAUCCCAUAAAGCCAGUCGUAGUCCGGAUCGUAGUCUGCAACUCGACUACGUGAAGUCGGAAUCGCUAGUAAUCGUGGAUCAGAAUGUCACGGUGAAUACGUUCCCGGGUCUU
rnacentral:rRNA from 1 species